GUUUACUUCCCUGCCAGGAGGUGGGAGCUCCCGCUGUGGGGAGUGGAGAGGGUUGGCUUGGUAGGGGCAGACAAAGUAAUUGGCAUCCAUGGUUUGAUGUCACCCCACCUUCUGCCCUGCUGAUCCAGGCUGGGAAGGGUGACAAUUAUUUACUUCUCCUGGGUUUCCCUGCUGGGAGACCUGUAGGGAGCAAGGCAAUGAUCUGCAGGUCUUGGAGACAAAGGAAACCGAUCCUAUGACCGUGGAAUGAGUGGUGGCAGACAAAGCCAGGGACUCAGAAGCCAGCCAAGGAACUAGAGCCCUGGCUAUCACGGGACUCAUUGUGUAGACCAGGCUGUCCUUGAACUCAGAGAUCUGCCUGCCUUUGCCUCCCAAGUGUUGGAGUUAAAGGAAUGAGUCAUCAAUGCCCUGGCGAGAAAGACUGUGAGUAGGAGCGUGCUACUGCAGUAGUCCAGAUCUCCUUUGGACCCCUGGGACCUGCUCUCCACUUUCCUGAUGAUGGUGUGGGGGACGUAGAACUCAGGACUCCUCCUGAGGGUGGGAGCCUUUGUGGCGACUGGAGGGAUUCCAUUGUGCCACUAGAGCUGAAGAGGAAGGGGUGUCCCUCCUGUGUGCACUGGGGUCCAAGCCUGGGACCCUCUCUCUCUAUGCAUUCCCUGUCAUCAGUUUUCCAGGAAUCCUGGAGGCUCCCCCUGUCUUCCCCCACCCACCAGGAUCAAGGUUUGUGGGGAAUGUUCUCCCGCAGAACUCGGCAUGAAAUAAAUUCCAUUCUUACUCUGCCAAUGACACUGCACAUAAAUAUUCAGUAAAUUAGCAGCACACUUUUAUAGAUUUAUCAGUCAUUGCAGGCACAAAAUGACAGGCAAUGUUGUAGCUGAAAUAUUAAUGCUGACAAAUUAAUGAUUUCUGAGUAAAUGAUGUCAUUUUUGCACCGUUUCAUUAAAAUUUACUCACUUCUGCUUCAUUUCUGGACCUAAAAAAAAUUAAAAUCAUUUCUUUUUCUCUUUCUUCUUUCUUUUUAGUGUGGGAUUGGUUCCCAAACCUGAGAGGGACAUAAAUUUCCCCCAGCAGCACCCCGGAAAUAGAGGUAGGGAGCCAGGCAAGCUACUAUAUUCCCACUGCGGGCACUGGAAUGGACUUCGGACACCUCCUCGCCCCAUCCCCAGCAUCACAGUCAGGAAUCCUGGUCCUCCACCAUCAGUCUAGCUAGUCUAGCAGGGACAGAUAAAGGGCCCUUGCUUUGGCUCAAACCUAGAGAGAGGGUGUGGAUACAGGGGCAAGUGGUGUUUUGGUGGGAGGCAAACAGGAGGGAAAGGAGUUGAUUCCCUCAGUUUUUGAGGCCCUAGAGCCUCCAUUACCUUCACUACACACGACUCGGCUGCUGCAACAAACUUAAGGAAGUUCAGCUCCUGUAGUAGGUAGAAGAGUGACAUACCAAUUGCAUAAAUACCAUCUCCACCAAGGUUCUGGGAGUGAAGAGAGUUCAACCCCCGGAUCCUGACUGAUCACCUAGGCUCAGGCGCCCUGCGACCUUGUCUUGGAACCUCCACAGUUCCCUUCUCUAACUAUCUGGUUUCCCAAGGUUCUUGCGAGGAUUAAGAAGGAUGGCCUGUAAAAGCCCAGACAGACUUCUCCUGGGAUACUCUUCCCAGUUGGUAGCAGCCUGUCCUUGGGCAGCCAGAAGCGCUGCGGGGAAAGAGCAGUGAGCCACCCCCUCCCGGCCGCGCGCGCACACAAAUACA
rnacentral:lncRNA from 1 species